UCGAAAGGACGACAAACGAACGACAAACACUUGACAUGCCCGACAUUGUUUUUUCCAUCGAUUUUCCUUCAAUUUGACGUCACGAUAUUCGUCGACGCAGUUUGACAGUUCUCUUCAGUUGGUCUUGUUUGGACUUGAUCAAAUCAAAGAAACUUUGUACCGAAUCGAACCGGUUGAUUGAUUUCCUGAUUUCGGCCUUCGUGAUGGAGGAGGAGGAGGAAGAGGAGAACGGGUCACAUCGUUGAUCCGGCGGGCCAUGCCGGAAGACGGGAAGGGAAGCACCCGGUCUGCGAUCGAGGAAGCGGAUUGGUUUUUAACUUUCCGCGGGAGGUGGCGGUGCGUGCCAUACCCAAGGACAAUGAAACGGCAAGUAAUGAAUGUUUCCCCCAAUGGAACAUAAGGAGGGAGAAAGACCAUUCCCCUUCCCGUCAAGUCUUGGGGAGGUGUACAAUGUUCCGUGUGAAAAGAAAGGUGGAGGAAGACGGCGUUUCUGAUCCACCGGAGGUUUUUAUACGGUAACCAAAAAUAUUCCAAUCGAAUCCUGCUGACAACCCAGCGUUUCCGUGUUGUCCCACAGAACGGAAGCUGUAACGAUCGCAAAAACACUUGUACCGGAAGUGCGUAAACCGACCUUGUCCGGACUCCGGUGGCCAUCCAUUUGUGGGAUGCCGAGGCGACGAGAUGAGCUGAAAGGCCAACUGGAAGACAACGCCAAAAACCACAUGAAGAUCGCGACACACAACAAGUAAAAUUAAUGAAUGUUUGUGAAAUCGAGUGAAAAAGAUUAAUUUACAGAAAAAAUACAUAUAAACAUAAUUUAAAAAUAAAAAAAA